CACGUAGGGGGCAAGCGUUGUCCGGAUUUAUUGGGCGUAAAGAGCUCGUAGGCGGUUCGCUAAGUCGGGUGUGAAACCUCCAGGCUCAACCUGGAGACGCCACCCGAUACUGGUGUGACUCGAGUCCGGUAGGGGAGCGUGGAAUUCCUGGUGUAGCGGUGAAAUGCGCAGAUAUCAGGAGGAACACCGGUGGCGAAGGCGGCAUCCUGGACCGGUAUUGACGCUGAGGAGCGAAAGCCAGGGGAGCGAACGGG
rnacentral:rRNA from 1 species